rnacentral:rRNA from 1 species
GACGAACGCUGGCGGCGUGCUUAACACAUGCAAGUCGAACGUAGAGCGAUGGAGGCUUCCUUCUAUCAAUCUUAGUGGCGAACGUGUGAGUAACGCGUAAUCAACCUGCACUUCAGUGGGGUACCACAGUUGGAAACGACUUCUAAUACCGCAUACGAUCUAAUCUCGGCGUCCAGGAUAGAAAAAAGGUGGCCUCUACAUGUAAGCUAUCACUGAAGGAGGGGAUUGCGUCUGAUUAGCUAGUUGGUGAGGUAACGGGCCACCAAGGCGAUGCUCAGUAGCCCGUCUGGGGGGAGUAACGGGCAAAUUGGGACCGGGACCACGCCCAGAACUCUAAGGGGGGCAGCAGUGGGGGAUCUUCCGCAAUUGACGAAAGGCUUGACGAGCAAAGGCGGGUGGGUGAUGAAGGCCUUCGGGUUGUAAAGCUCUUUUAAUCGGGAAGAAAGGACUUCUUGAGAAUAGAGAGAAGGAUUGACGGUACCGAAAUAGAAAGCCACGGCUAACUACGUG